rnacentral:rRNA from 1 species
GGAAAACUUACCAAGACCGAACAGUAGAAGGAAUGACAGAUUAAGAGUUCUUUCAUGAUUUAUUGGGUA